AUUGAACGCUGGCGGAAUGCUUUACACAUGCAAGUCGAACGGCAGCACGGGUGCUUGCACCUGGUGGCGAGUGGCGAACGGGUGAGCAAUACAUCGGAACGUACCCAGUCGUGGGGGAUAACGUAGCGAAAGUUACGCUAAUACCGCAUACGUCCUGAGGGAGAAAGCGGGGGACCGUAAGACCUCGCGCGAUUGGAGCGGCCGAUGGCGGAUUAGCUAGUUGGUGGGGUAAAGGCCUACCAAGGCGACGAUCCGUAGCGGGUCUGAGAGGACGGCCAGCCACACUGGAACUGAGACACGGUCCAGACUCCUACGGGAGGCAGCAGUGGGGAAUUUUGGACAAUGGGCGAAAGCCUGAUCCAGCCAUUCCGCGUGAGUGAAGAAGGCCUUCGGGUUGUAAAGCUCUUUCGGCAGGGAAGAAACGGCUUGGGAUAAUACCCCGGGCUAAUGACGGUACCUGAAGAAGAAGCACCGGCUAACUACGUGCCAGCAGCCGCGGUAA
rnacentral:rRNA from 1 species